UACGUAGGGUGCAAGCGUUAAUCGGAAUUACUGGGCGUAAAGCGCGCGCAGGCGGUCCUUUAAGUCUGAUGUGAAAGCCCACGGCUCAACCGUGGAGGGUCAUUGGAAACUGGGGGACUUGAGUGCAGAAGAGGAAAGCGGAAUUCCACGUGUAGCGGUGAAAUGCGUAGAGAUGUGGAGGAACACCAGUGGCGAAGGCGGCAUCCUGGACCGACACUGACGCUGAGGCGCGAAAGCUAGGGUAGCAAACGGG
rnacentral:rRNA from 1 species